GAUGAACGCUAGCGGCAGGCCUAAUACAUGCAAGUCGGACGGGAUUGAGGAGCUUGCUCCUCAUGAGAGUGGCGCACGGGUGCGUAACACGUAUGUAACCUACCUUUACCAGGGGGAUAGCCUCUCGAAAGAGAGAUUAAGACCGCAUAAUAUGAAGACACAGCAUUGUGAUUUCAUCAAAUAUUUAUAGGGUAAAGAUGGGCAUGCGGAACAUUAGCUAGUUGGUAAGGUAAUGGCUUACCAAGGCUACGAUGUUUAGGGGAUCUGAGAGGAUCGACCCCCCAC
rnacentral:rRNA from 1 species